AACGCACCUUGCGCUCCUUGGUAUUCCGAGGAGCAUGCCUGUUUGAGUGUCAUGAAACUCUCAAUCUUAACUAUUUUUUCACGAAGGUAGUUUUGUAUUGGACUUGAGCGCUGCUGGUCUAAUCGAUCGGCUCGUUCGAAAUAUAUUAGCUGGACCCUUAUUGAACUUGGUUCCACUUGACGUGAUAAGUAUUUCGUCAAGGACAUCUUUAUUGAUGGCCAUAAUCAAUCUGUUGAUCUGCUUCUAAUCGUCUUUACUUUAUUGUAAACACCUUUUAUGAUCUGGCCUCAAAUCAGGUAGGACUACCCGCUGAACUUAA
rnacentral:misc_RNA from 1 species